UGGCAUAAAGAUAAAUACCAACAUUUCUAGAUCACAUUUUCUGUCUGAAGACUAAAAUACUAUAAAAUAACUUUUGCUACUAUCAUUUUGAAUCAUUUUACAGUUUCUCUUCUAUUUAAUAUUUAGUUUAUAUUAUAGUGCAUCUUUGUUAUUCCCCCAGAUUUUCAUUAUUUAGAUUUUCUAUGAAGUGGUAAAACAUUGAAAUAUUUUCUCUUCUUAUUGUGCAUGAGUGUUUCCCUCACUGAGCUCUGCUAAUUUUUUUUCAAAGUGAUGAAAAAUACAAGGGAUUAGUAAGUAAAAGGCUGAAUAGAAAAGAAUACAAAUAUAGAAAAAACCCAACAAUUACCUGUACAUAUAUUGAAGAACUAAUCUGUUUUAAACGCUGAAGAAAUCACCAUCACAGCUACUGUCAAGACCUUGAUUUAAGUAUUACUUAUAAACAACGGUAUAUCAGAUUAAACUCUAUCUUGUCCCUUAAUUCAAUGACAAAACUAAUAAUUUUUCUUAGUUCUCUGUGUUCACUCAAAACCUAAAAGUGUAUUUAAAAGUUUUCCUUACAGCUUAUGCUUCACUUUCCUUAAUGCUCCUUUAUUUUUGUGCAGACUUACAGAAAAUGCAGUUUGGCUACCAAUUUAAAAAUACCUGUUAUUAUUAAAUUUAAAAAAAAAAAAAAAAAAAAAAA